rnacentral:tRNA from 1 species
UCCCUGAUGGUCUAGCGGUUAAGACUCUGCACUUCCAAUGCAGGGGGCUUGGGUUUGACCCCUGAUCAGAGAA